GCGACACUCAAUCUACUGUCAAAUAUGAUAGCAGCGCGCGCUUUGCCCCAAGCCGAAGGGCGCGUGGUCACCACCUAUAACCAACCUCUAACUGGUGCCUACAUUCCUUUUGCCAAUGAAGAUUUCAAAAUGCCAAAAAAUAACAUGGCUUUAAUAUUAUGGCAAAAAAUGAUUAUUUUGUACGUUUUAACAGGCUUAUGUUUUCUAUUAAUAUUGCCAUGUAAAGAACAAGAUAGCGGGGCUCGUCUCACCCACAUACUAGCUGGCUGCCCGCCCGAGUUGCACUGGGCUGCUAUGCUGUUCACAGCGCUUCUCCACGUCCUUCUGUAUGUAAUUAUCAUUGUCAUCGCUUGCGCAUUCUUGGACUUCGACAAAACAAUAUCGGACAUCAAGUUUAUACUCCCUGCUUCUUUGGUUGUACUACUUGGUAGUGUAGCGAGCCUUGUAUAUCUAUAUGACUUUACAUUGACGUCCUCCGAACGUAUGACUUUAGUGAUCGCAGCAAUUCUGGCGGUCAUUGGCGUGUUUGUCAUCCCCUUGCUUUGUGCGAGGUGGUUUAAAUCUCCGCGUAUAGUUUUGAUAUUUGAGAUUAUUCUUCCUCAAUUCGCGUUCACACAGGCUUUGGCCGACUGUACAAACACAGCUUAUGUGAAUGCUCUUUGCAAAUUGAACAAGGACAAAUGCCCUUUCACUGAUGUCCUAAGUCCACAUUUCAAAGACGGCAAGU